UUCACGAUCCGAGGAUUGCCGCACUCGACCCGCGAAAUUUGAAGCGUGAUUGAAACGUCGUCGUCAUCUUCUUUUUCUCAAUUGUUUUUGCUAUAUGCUUCGAGGCUAUUCUGGAUCUCCAGAGCGAAAGCUGGUUGUUUCUGAUACGUACCACGCAUUACCUUAGGUUGAGCCGUGGCUUUUAAUUUUUUUUGGAAGUUCACUGCUUUGGAGACGACGGAAUGUCAAGGAAACGUAAGGCCGAGUCGCCUCACCGACUGAGCAAAGUUCUCUGCGACGAAAGUCACACUAUCGGCGAAUGCACUCAAGAGCUUCCGAGCCACGCCGAGUCACCUGACCAACUGAAGAAGGUUCUGUGCGACGAAAGUCACACUAUCGGCGAAUGCACUCAAG